rnacentral:rRNA from 1 species
UACGGAGGGGACUAGCGUUGUUCGGAAUUACUGGGCGUAAAGGGUUCGUAGGUGGCCAACUAAGUCAGACGUGAAAUCCCUCAGCUUAACUGGGGAACUGCGUCUGAGACUGGAUGGCUCGAGUGCAGGAGAGGAACGCGGAAUUCCAGGUGUAGCGGUGAAAUGCGUAGAUAUCUGGAGGAACACCGGUGGCGAAGGCGGCGUUCUGGACUGCUACUGACACUGAGGAACGAAAGCCAGGGGAGCAAACGGG